GCUCGUUCUAAAUCGUUCAUGGAAGACAUGCUGACAUAAUCGAUAUUUCGGUUGUGCAAUGAUAACUAUAUUUUUUAUUAUCUCUGCCAAGUCACCCUAAUCGAUUGUUGUAUUGAUUUAAGUAUCUGCGACUUAGAAAUUUCCUCAUUGAAUGCCCCGAUUCGUGCUUGAAAACUGAAAUACGGCGAUUGUACGAGAACUCAAGGGAGCUGUGUGCAAGCGAAAACCGUAGGUUUACGUAUGGCUGCACAUUUGACUAGAGUGAAAGGUGAAGAUAAAAAGAAUGACGACAGUAAUGAGCUUGAGAAUGAAUCAAAAGAUCCAAAAGAGGACUCGGGAGAAAUUUACAAAGAAAAGGCAAAAACGGAAGAUACAUGUUGUACAGGUACAAGACCGAAGACAAUCACCAAUGGUCUAGGUACAUAAAUAUUAUAAAUCAGCAAAUUAAUUACUAUAUUUACGGUAUAAUUCGUGUUAUUUUAUUAAAUGCAAUGCGCUCGGAAUGUUGAUAUUACUAGUCCGCGCCUCCGACAAGAACAGUCCUUAAAACUACUUGUUUGUUUUACGUUAUGUAGUUUCAGAAAACGAACGUCGUGGAAAACAGCAACACUUCAAAAAGAACAAAGUACAUACCUUUUUACGUUUGGAUAAACUUCGACGAUCAAAAAGCGAAUCGGAAUUGCAAAGACCAUUUACGAACAAAAUACAACCUGUUGCAAAAAAAAGAGAAGGUUCGUGUGGGGCUUUAAAUGACAACAAUCAUGAUGACGGUGAUGUAUAUGAACAUAAAGCUGACGCUGACAAUGAAGCGGAAGUUAAU